GACGGGCGGCCCAGCCCGGCUGUCCCUCGUGUCCGGCCUGAGAAGGCGCUGAGGGUCACCAGUGCGGUCAAAACCAGCUCCCCUCGUCAGGCGCCGUGUAAACACGAGGUUUAUACACGAGGUUUAAACACGACCGGACCGUUAAAAAGUGAACGUGAGGAGAACUUCCCAGGCGAUGUGAAACACAGAUAGAACAUUUUGCUCCCUUUUGGUGUAGCUGGACACUCAGAUGACCUAGCACAAACUGAGAAAAAUUGAGAGAAGAUGGGAGGUAGCCGUCUGCACUCCUGAUUUUUCCUGCAUCUGCUAUGGACUGAACUCACAAUUGGAGCACCAAGCUAUUGCAAAUUAGAGUCUGAGUAGUAACUGCAACUUGAGAAGAAUGGAACCAUAAUUCAUCUGUAUUGUGAUGUCUCUAGAGUGUGGUAUUUCUCUGCUGUCUUGAUCCAAUUUCUCACAGAAGGAAUUUAUGCUUCACUUGAAUCUUGCCCGUUUUGCAAACCUGGAGGUGUGGUCCAGAGGAUUUGCCCACAGAGCAAACAGAGGUGAGGUGGGACAGAAGGCACCAGUCCUGAAAGGGACUAUAUCAAGAUACCAAACUGAAAUCUUCCAUAUUCUGAUGGGUGGCAAGGUAAGACAGAACACUUCUAGAGGAUGGUAUAAUUGAAAUGUAAAUGAAGAAAGAGUUUACUGGUGGAAAAAAAUCUCCAACAGAGAAAUUAUUUCCAGUCUUGAAAAUGAAACCUGUUUUCUGUAAUCUGCAAGUUAUACUGGGACAAAGAAUCCAUUCCAAAAAUACCCAUCAAUAUUUUGGACCAAUGCCAUCAUGAAGUCCUAAUCUGAUUAUUCAUUUUAUUUAGGAAUAUGACUGUACCAUCCAUAUACAUACUGAAUAUUUGUACUAAAUUCCUAUGCUAAGUGUUACUUGUAAGAGUUGGCCUGACUUACAGCAUGACUUACAAAGGAUAGGCUCCUACUUCCUAUUAAAGAUUCCUCUUUUCCCUUUUUUCUUUUAAAUUUUUUCCUCUUUUUAGGCAUUUUUGUUUGAGUUUUAUGCUAGUUAGUCUAUCACAUUAUGAUAUCUGGGGAACUUCAACCAUUGUCAAAAAUCUGAUAAGGAGACAAUAUCUGAGCAUUUAUUAUAAAAAGGGGUCUAAAGGUUUCUUAGGCAAACUGUAAUUUCCUGAUGGUAUUUGAAGUUUGACAUUAUAUUGGCAGAGUAUCAAGGAUGCUACUUCUGAAGGGGUUCACCUAAACAUAGCUCUGAACCCCAGGGGCCUGAGACAAGAUGUGGAAAACUAGGGAUGAACUGUAAACAUUUUGUUUAAAGUCAGUUGCACGGGAUCACACAGGAGCUUGGAGACAGGGGUAGAAUCAAAAUCUCCAGGAUGAAGUUUAACUGCUUCAUCUGCUUUAACCCUGGUUCCGUCUUUCUUUUCUCUCUUGUUUAUCACACACCUCAAAACUUUAGCAGUAAAUGAAGCAGGAAUAUUAGGAAAGAAGCUCCAUUCAUACAGGCAGUCUGUUUAGAGAAUGUCAUAGUUUGUCUGUACUUGAUACACAUGUUGCAGGAAGAAAACAGUACACGAUCAUACAAUUUCCGAUGCUGUGUACACAUCACAUCGAAAGGCUGAAAUAAUACUGUGUACAUACUUGUAAUGAUAACAUUUCUUAACUACUGAACACAAAACUUUCUAACCCCUGCUAGCCAUCUGUCAAAAUUCAGUAUUAAGCUCAUGAAACUAUGUCAAAUCACAAUACUGAUACUCUAGUGUUCUGAGUCAAAAAGUAUUUUUGUCAUGGAAGACGUGAAAUAAAAAUAGCUAAUUAUGUUUCCUUUGCCUCUUGCACUAAAAUAUUGAAGGUGAUUCAAAGCCUUUCCAGCACUUCAAUGUUGCUAAAUCCUUCCAGUCAUAAUGGUAGUAUGGUAGUUUUGGGGAAUGAAAAAAGGUUGUCUGCAAUGUAUCCAUCUUUUUUUCUUUUUGUACUAUAUCCUCAGUACCAAAUAUUUUCUAACCCUCUUCUGGAGAUUGCUACCACAGUUUGAUUUAUCCUAAACUUUCCCCAAAGCAUUAGCAGAUGUUCUUUAAGACAAAUAUGCUUCCAGGACUGUGUGAGCUCAGCAGAAAGAAUAUAUAUUAAAAGCAAUAGAUAUAGAUGUUACUUUGUAGUUCUACCACAGUUUCUGUAAGGGACACUAGAAGAUUUUAAACAUAAGCUAAGAAACAAAACUAUUCAACUCUUCAACUAUUCAACUAUUCAACUUUAGAGAUGAAGGGAAUAUGGUGUACUAAGUUUCAGCAACUCACUUAAAAAAAGUUAAAUGUUUUGGAUCUAUUUGGUAGUUCUAUUAUCAUCCUUUCUCCAAUAAGAAUACAUAUGUUUACAUUUAAGAGCUCUCUUUCUCUGUUGUCACUUCCAAUCUUUGUCCAUCAAAAUUGUUUUCUGUAACGUAGUAAAUGCUAGUCAGAGACCACACGUAGUGUUCUAUAUGCAUUCUGGAAUAUGUUUCAGCUUAUCUCAUAUAACACUUGAGAGUAUUUUUCCCAAGUGAAUCUCAAUGUUUUUGAGUUCUCUUAGUGUUUUACCAUUUGUUUUCCUUAUAUUACACCAGUCAAAAAUUAUUGCCUUGGAGAGUUACUUGUGAGCACAAUGGGAAAGUUUCUCUUUUUUCUUACCCGGUUUAACUGCUUUUGUCUUGAGCUCUAAUUGUUGAUGGGUUUUUACUUAUUUCAUCCUGGUACCUUACAACGAGUAUUUGUGCUUAGCUUGAUAUCAUAAAUUUGUUUUAACAAAUAAAAUGUCCCAGUCAGAGCUAAUAGUGAUUGGUGGCUCAGUAUCUUAAAAACAACAAAAAUUAUAUUAUAUGGCAGGGCAAAUCACAAAAUCUUUCAUGUCUAGUCUUGAAAGAUUACUGCUAAGACUUCCCUACUUUUAGAAAAAUUAUUUUCCUGCUAUUCACACUUUGCUUAAAUGGUGGCUUAAUAUAGAUGUGACAACCUAAGCUGAAUAUAGUACAGAGCAUUAAAGCAGGCUUUAAAUAAUAUGGUAUAAAGAUUCCUGAUCCAUCAUAACUUCUCUAUUCCCUUUUAUUUUUAUUUUUUAGUAAUUGCUUCAGACAUUACAAUACUAUUUGAUCUUCAUGUCAUGAGAAAGAAAAGAAGGCAGAAGAACUGACAGCUUGAUCCUUGCCUUCUUACAAAAGACCAACUUUUAGAUUUUGACCUCUUCUAGCGGUGGAUUCAACUACUCUAAUAGCAGAUGCUUAACAGGUCUUGUUUGAAUUUGAGCCUUAUUCUAACCCUCACGUCCAAAGAUCUAAUUAGAAUACCAGGUACUCUCGCUGCUUUUAUUAUAAACACUUUGUUGGGGACAUCUAAUACCCUUACUGUAUUUGUUCAUUUUGGUGAGGUACAAUUACAAAAAGAAGGUGUAGGCUUUGCUAUUGGUAUUACUUUAAAUCCUAGGAAUCUGGAGAAAAUAGGAAAUUAAAAUACUGUGUCCAAAAACUGGUUUCCUUUUUAAAGUAUUUUUCAUCCAUGCACUUCUACCCCUGGAUCAUAAGCCAAAUACUGCUCACAAUUGACAGUGCUAUCCAGAUAGAACUCUGAAUUUCCUUUGUUUAUUGGCUGCCCCACUUUCAGUUAGUUUGAUUUCACAUCCAAAGUGUUGGUCUUGACCUUGAACCAAUUUCUCCAAAUUUGUGGCCCCACCAGUGUGUGUAUGUGUGUAUUUGUAUAUGUGUAUGAAAUUAAUUAGAGGAAUUUAUUCAAUAUGUGUAUGGAUGGACAGGGAAAAUAAGGAAAAUAGUGAACAAUUGUCUAAAUGGCUCUUUUUGAACCCUCAAAGUAUUUUAACAUCAGUUUAAACUUAAAAUACUUAUCUUUCAACAUCGUUAACUUGUAUUUUUUGUGAGUUUAAACUAAUUAUGCAGAGCACGAGAGUCUUUCAGUAUAUUUGAUUUCAAGUAUGUAUUCUACUAUUAAAGUUAAUUGCACUUGUGUAAUUCACCCUACCAGUACUGUUAAGAAAUACCUCUGUUCAGAGUAGAGCUAGAGAUGAUGGGGAUGGGGCAUUGGCUCUAAGGAAGAAACAUAGGAAGCUAACAUUUUUUAAGCACUGCAAGAAACUCUGAAAUACUCACACAGAAAGAGUGGCUAUUCUUAGAAUAUGACACUGAGUCUGUAGCAGCUGAUAUUUUCUUUGUAAAAUUAUGGUGUAUGCACUGAAUAUUUUAAUUCUCUUGUUUGUGAUUUCUUGGUGUACCUGAAUAGCUUUCACGUGCAUGUAUCCUCUAUGACUUCUGUAAAUGAAUACACCGUGUACAAGCAAAAGCCAUUUUAUGUUGGAUACAUGUAAAUAAAAAAGGUUAUUA